AUAUAUGAUGAUAAACCAUUUUAGAUGUCUCGAAGAAUUUAUUUCAAUGUGAGCACACGAUUUCUCAAUAGACUACAACGGUAUCUGAUU
rnacentral:ncRNA from 15 species